UACGGAGGGGGCUAGCGUUGUUCGGAAAUACUGGGCGUAAAGCGCACGUAGGCGGCGCAGCAAGUCAGGGGUGAAAUCCCGGGGCUCAACCCCGGAACUGCCCUUGAAACUGCAGUGCUAGAAUUCUGGAGAGGCGAGUGGAAUUCCGAGUGUAGAGGUGAAAUUCGUAGAUAUUCGGAAGAACACCAGUGGCGAAGGCGACUCGCUGGACAGACAUUGACGCUGAGGUG
rnacentral:rRNA from 1 species